GAAAUAAAUAUCAUUCGUCUUGUAAUUUAGAAGGAAACGAUUCUACCAAGUACGAAACUGAGACUGUAACUGUCCUAGCUCUGUAUUGCUUAUUAUUUAUUUUUUUCUCUCCCUCGGAUAAACCGUAAUUAUGUUUUGAUAUGAUUUUCUUGUCACCUUAAUUAAUGUAAUUAAUUUAUUGCAAGGAUCUUGUUCUUAUGUCAAAAUUUUGAAUACCAGAUUAACAAUAAUAAUUUCAAAACUUAGUUUUCUUUUACGAAUUUGAUCUUUAUUUUCACGUGUUCAAGAUUUAUGUGGAGAAUUUUCUCCUGAAAACCUUUUAAAUUUUGCCUAAUUAAGACAUUUCAUUACAAUAACCGGUUGUGUUGGACAUUGGUAUGUACAACGACGACUCCUUUUAAAUCGUUGGUAUUAUCGGGUUUUCGCGAAGACUGAUUUUUUUUCGGAUUUCGCCUUCUUGAUGAUAAUAUCCGUUAAUUCAUUCCAAAUCUUUUUAAUUUCAGUUAAUUUGAUUUUCGUUCUUUUAAUGCCUAAACACGAAGACAAUAUAGUGAGAUGUGUAACUAGGUAGCUGACUUACAAAGACAGUGCUCGGAAACAAAUAUAAAGAAAUAAUUAACACAAGAGCAGUCAGAGAGCGCAAACCCCCGCCAAGGGAACACCGACGUCCUUAAUUUUUUUAUUACCCACAAGGGGCCGGAAAUAGAGGUUUUAAAUUGCAAAAACAAUACAAAACUCAUAAUCGGGGAAAUAAAAAUAUAGAAGGAAGUCGAGUAAGGAAGAAAAAAUAAAAGGAACGAAUGAAAAUAAUAAAAUGAGGCGCAAUGCCCACUCGACCCCCGAAGCCGAGUGGUUACAUUUAGAAAUUAUAUUGGACAGUUUUUGGAGGGAAUGUACAUUAGCUCAUUCCCUCCAUCAGAUCAACGUUGCUUGAAUAGGUGCACGGUGUGCCACACAUCGGAUGUCAAAGUGAUCGCAGCAACAUGAGAUGAAAUGUUUUCUACAACAACACAACGUACAAAUCGCUUCGGGAAUUGAAACCACAAUCUCGCAAUCGUGAGUGCAACACUCUAACCACUAGACCAUAAGACCUCACACCAUCUCUGAUAUGGAUAAGCUUUCAACUGAGUAUAAACAUAACAUUUGAUACUUGAAAGCAGAAAAUGACAUUACAGUCUGAGAUGGAAGGCGGGGGUCUAGUUUUAGAUCAUCAUCAUCAUCGUUUAACAUCCGCUUUCCAUGCUAGCAUGGGUUGGACGAUUUGACUGAGGGCUGGCGAACCAGAAGGCUGCACCAGGCUUCAAUCUUGAUCUGGCAGAGUUUCUACAGCUGGAUGCCCUUCCUAACACCAACCACUCCGAGAAUGUAGUGGGUGCUUUAACGUGCCACUGGCACGGGGCCAGUCAGGCGAUACUGGCAAGACCUCGCUCGAAUCUUUUUACAUAUACCACCAGCACAGGUGCCAGUAAGGCGAAGCUGGUAACGAUCACACUCGAAUGGUGUCCUUUACGUGCCACUGGCACGGAGGCCAGAUAGCCGCUCUGGCAACGAUCACGCUCGGAUGGUGCUCUUAACACCCUACUAGCACAGGGCUCGAGUGCCAGUAAGGCGACAGAAAGAAGAGAAAGCAAGAUAAACGAAGUUUAUGUAUUGAACAUCACUCAGGUGUUAUCGAUCGGUUUUGGUGACAAAAGAACAAAAUUUCAGUUAUACACGUUUAAUUUUAUUUGAUUGAAAUCGCUUUCAUGUUUUGAUGCAAUAUAUUUUUCUUCUUCCUUCAGAGUCCGCAGUGCUUCAAAGAUGCUUGAGAUAACUUGUAAUGACCGACUGGGAAAGAAAGUCAGAGUGAAGUGCAAGUAUCCUUCUGCUUCCAAAGAGAUUAAGGGUCUUCCUCUUUAUUGUAUGUGUGCCAGAUGACAAAAACUAAAAAAAAAAAAAAAAAAUAGUGUGUGGCCAUAUGGUAAGAAGUUUCUUUCCCGACCACAUGGUUCCAGGUUCAGUCCCACUGCAUGGCACUUUGCGAAAGUGUCUUCUCAUAUAGCUCCAGGCUGACCAAAGCCUUGUGAGUGGAUUUGCUAGAUGGAAACUGAAAUAAGCCCAUAAUGUGUGUAUAUAUAUAUAUAAAGGUACAAAGUGAGAUAGGGGUUAUGAGUGUAACCCACUAUGGGAUAUCAUUUAUCCAAUAUACUGCUAGUAAAGUACCCAGAAGGCUAAUACAUAAAUGGUAAGAAUUGCAAUGCAAUUAAUUCAUUUAUUGUAUUAUAUGGGCGAAGGUAAAAUGUUUUACCUCAAAUUCAUAAUACGAAAUAAGAAAAUGGAGGAAUAGAUUUCUUUCAGUCAUCAACUUCCAGAUAAUACAAUGUAUUAUCUGGAGGUUGAUGAUUGAAAGGAAUCUAUUCCUCCAUUUUCUUAUUUUAUAUAUAUAUAUAUAUAUAAUAUAUAUAUAUGUAUAUAUAUGUAUAUAUAUAUAUAUGUAUAUAUAUGCGGGUGGCACGUAAAAAGCACCCACUACACUCUUGGAGUGGUUGGCGUUAGGAAGGGCAUCCAGCUGUAGAAACAUUGCCAGAUAAGACUGGAGCCUGGUGCAGCCUCCUGGCUUCCCAGAUCCCCGGUCGAACCGUCCAACCCAUGCCAGCAUAUAUAUAUAUAUAUUAGUGGUAAGAAGUCUGCUUCCCAACCACAUGAUACUGGGUAUUUAUGUUCAACAUAGCAUUUAAUGGCAGUCAGUUUCUCACUGAGGUACACAUGCUAUUGCCAUUUUACAUUCAUUUUUCCAUGGUUGUUUCUCUGUCACACUCUAACCUUUCAUCAUCUGACACAUGACCACCUCCUCCAAUAUUCCUCCUCUAUAGCAAGAUGCCUGUUCUUAUCUCUUUGUCACAGUCUUACCUUACAUCAUCUGAUGCAGGAUCCCCUCCUCCAAUGCCCCUCCCCCCUCUCCUCUCAAAAUUCCUUGUCAUGCAAAGUUACUUGGUCACCCUGCAAUGGCGAUUUGACAUCUAUGUUUAGCAUAUUAGGUGUCCACUUAAGUGGUCAUUCCUCUUAAUUUUAUAUAUAUAUAUAUAUAUAUAUAUAAGAUAUAUAAAGAACGUUAAUGCUCAUGAGAGAUUAAUGUUAGUGGCCAAAUUAAUAGAUAUAUAUAAGAAUUAUAUAUAACAAGGGUGCUAUGAAGCACUAGCUUUGCUAAAAAUAGGAGUCAAAGUACUUCAAAGCCACAAAAAUUAACACUAGAUUUUCACAGGCAUAGUUGGAAAAAAACCCAAGUGAAUAAGGAUUGCAUCUUAUCUCUGCAAAACGGCAAGAAGGAAUGCCAAUAACCUGGUGUCAUGAUUUCAAAUUUAACACCAAAGACUUGAUUCUAUCUACCUAUAUAUAUAUAUAUAUAUAUACACAUAUAUAUAUAUAUAUAUAUAGGUGCUUUUUUUUUUUUUGAGAAGGCCAUGACUUAGUGGUUAGGGCAUGGGAUUUAAAAUUCUGUAGUUGAAGCUUCAAUCCCCUGACUAGGCAGCAUGUUGUGUUUGAGUGCCGAGCUCUAAUUUUGGAGGGUACCCAGGAAGAUGUGGGACAAAGUGGUGAGAAAGGAUCUUUGGACUCUGGGCCUCACCAAGGAAACAACAGCGGACAGGAAGUCGUGGCAAUUUGCUGAACCUGAUAAAACACAUGAAGCUAAAUAUAAUUGCUUCCACACAUGCAGGCUUGUCCUUUUAUGUACCGGUGCCGCUUAAAAAGCACCCAUUUAAUGUCUGCUUUCCAUGGGUUGGGUGGUUUGACAUGGAACUGUCCAGACGCCACUUGUCUGUUGUGGCAUGGUUUCUACAGUUUGAUGCCCUUCAUAAUGCCAACCACUUACCAGAUUGUGCUGGGUGCUUUUUUGUUAACUUGGUCUUUUAAAUAUAAUUAUUCUAGCCUGGCUUCCGUGCUGGUGGCAUGUAAAAAGCACCAUCCAAACGUGGCCGAUGCCAGCGCCGCCUUGACUGGCUUCUGUGCCGGUGACACGUAAAAAGCACCAAUCCCAUUGUGGCCGUUGCCAGCCUCGCCUGGCACGUAAAAAGCACCCACUACACUCAUGGAAUGGUUGGUGUUAGAAAGGGUAUCCAGCUGUAGAAACACUGCCAGAUCAGACUGGAGCCUGGUGCAGCCUUCUGGCUUCCCAGAUCCCCAGUCGAACCGUCCAACCCAUGCCAGCAUGGAGAACGGACGUUAAACGAUGAUGAUGAUGUGUAAAUAUAAACAAACUAACAUAUGUUUUUAUUAGAAGCGUCCAAGUGUGUAUUGUACAACACAAACAAGCAGAUGAUAUUUUUUUCAAAUGCAGAAAUAAUGGGUGAAUACCCUUACAAGGUAGAAAAAGUUGUCAACAAACUACCUUGUAAAGAUAUUUACCCAUUAUUUCUGCUGUUCUAAUGGCAUUACUGCAUUUGAAAAAAAUAUCAUCUUCUUGUUUGUAUCGUACAAUAAUUAUUACGAUUAUUGUUGUUAUUGUUCUUGCAGUUGUUUUCUUUAACUAAAUCUUUCAGUGAAGACGACACCAUUUGUGACCUAAAAAAAUUAAUCGCAGCUCAAACAGGCACUCGGUGGGAGCGAAUCGUUUUGAAAAAAUGGUAAGCUACUUGAUUAUUUUCCCUUUUGACUGUAAUCCAUAUUCCAGUUGAGAGUCCUUAUUACCUGUUGCAACUGAUAUGUGUGGAGGCGCGUGGCUAAGUGGUUAGGAUGUUGAACUCAUAAUUGUAAGGUUGUGGUUUCAAUUCCUGGACCGGGCGACGCGUUGUGUUCUUGAGCAAAACACUCGAUGAGUAACACUACGAUGGACUGGCGUCCCGUCCAGGUGGGGAAUUUCUACGCCACUGAAACCGGGAAACCGGCCCUUAUGAACAUGGCAUGGCUUGAGAAGGAACAUUUAGUGGUGGUGCAUGGCUUAGUGGUUAGGGUGUUGAACUCAUAAUUGUAUGGUUGUGGUUUCAAUCCCUGGACCAGGCAAUACAUUGUGUUCUUGAGCAAAACACUUCAUUUCACCUUGCUCCAGUCGACUCAGCUGGCAAAAGUGAGUAAUCCUGCGACGGACUGGCGUUCCGUCCAGGUGGGGAAUUUCUACACCACCGAAACCUGGGAAACAUUUAACUGAUAUGUAUUCAUUGAAUAUCCAGUUGAGCGCCCUGCAGCACAGUUAGUGCUAACACAUACAAGUUGCACAUCCACAGAAGAGUCCUAUGGCCUGUUAGGGUUAGCGCAGUUGAGAAGAAAGAAUGUUCUGGAUUAUUAUUUCAGCUUUUGUCUGCAUUGUUUCAUUUAGAAAAUUGGAGACAGAGCAGCUACUACAACCACAAACAUCCAGAUCAUAUUCUUCCUUAGAUGGCCUUUUAAUAAUGAUAAUGAAAUUAUUGUAUACAGUGCUUGGGUGCACCACAACUUGUCAAAAGGGCGUAUCAUCAUCAUCGUUUAACGUCCGCUUUCCAUGCUAGCAUGGGUUGGACGGUUCAAUUGGGGUCUGGGAAGCCAGAAGGCUGUGCCAGGCCCAGUCUGAUCUGGCAGUGUUUCUACCGCUGGAUGCCCUUCCUAACGCCAACCACUCCGUGAGUGUAGUGGGUGCUUUUUACGUGCCACCCGCACAGGUGCCAGACGGAGCUGGCAAACGGCCACGAUCGGAUGGUGCCUUUUACGUGCCACCGGCACGGAGGCCAGUCGGGGCGGCGCUGGCAACGGCCACAUUCGGGUGGUUCUCUUACGUGCCACCGGCACUGGUAGUUUAAAAUAUAUUUAUGAAAUACUAAUAAAAAUGACUAUCAACAUAGCACAAUAUUCACAGAAAUUUCUUGUUCAAUUUUAAACAGAAACUAUUAAAUUUUACUUCUCUAAUGAAUCUGUAUGCAUUAACCCUUUAGACCUCAGAUUAAUCUGCCAAAUGUAAUGCUUAUUGACUCACAUUGUGUUCAAUUAAUUAUGCAUUAUCUCAUAGCUUUAUAAUAAUAAUAAUAAUAAUAAUAAUAAUGAAACGCAUUGACCCAUUCAGGGGAUCGUCUCAUUACCUAUCAGGCCCCAUCAUGUCGUCAUUACAUACUGAAUGCCUGCCAUACAUUGCAACCAAGAGAAUACCCUCCAUCAGGCAUUUGCCAUAUUCUGAACACCUUACUUCCCUGGGCGUGGAUACAUUGAAACUCCGACAUCUGGCAGCUGACUUGGCAGACGCCCAUAAAAUUAUCAACCAUCUUACAAACAAUAACUCUGAGCACCUUUUCAAACUCCACCUGUCUAAAACCCGUGGACAUGUUUGCAAAGUCAGAAAACAGCACAGCUCCCAUGACUUUUGGAAACAUUUUUUCACGCUGAGAGUUGCUGAAGCAUGGAAAAAACUGCCGGCAUCAGUUGUUAGUUGUCGGAGCACUGCACUCUUCAAAACUUCCAUGCUUCCUGAGAUUCGCCAACACUACACCUGAUUUUCUCCCCUCCAUACACACACACGCAAGCAUGUAUCUGACUCAUACACUGUUCACUUUCCAGACAUUUGUACACUACUGCAUAUACUCUAUACUCUUCUUUCAGUUUCCAUCUACCAAAUCCACUCACAAGGCUUUGGUCGGCUCGAAGCUAUAGCAGAAGACACCUGCCCAAGGUGCCACACAGUGGGACUGAACCCGGAACCAUGUGGUUGGUUAGCAAGCUACUUACCACACAGCCACUCCUACGCCUGCUGUGCAUUGGUGACACUGCAACAAAUGUCUUCCCGAUUAACUCCCCUUGCCAAUCUUGUCUCGCCAGUUCACGAUAUUGUCCAUCCAUCACAUUCUUUGGCUGCCACUCGAUCUAUUUAUUCCCUUCUACUCUUCCUUCUCUGAUAAUAUUUCCCCGACCUCUUCUUCAAAUGUGGCCAUAACAGAUGAACUUUUUGAUUUUUUACAAUGUUCAAGAGUUGUCAUCUUUCACCUACAUGUUGUACAUGUUAUGGAUCUUUUCCGUUUGACCGGCAGUUUUUUAAAAUGAUUUCCACGUAACUAAACACUUUUAAACUUCGUAUACUGGUAGAAUGUGUUUAUAAAACAUAUUUUUCUCUUGGCUUUAUUGAGAAAAUUCUAUAGUCUGUAAGAUAUUUGUUGCUUUUUUCUUCAAUUUCUGCAAUUUCAACUAAUCAAUGACGUCUAUUGAGGUGAAAACAUUCUGUGCCAUAUGAAUAUGUCCCUCGUUUAAGAAACAGAUUGGGUUUAUUUACAUUUGUGAAGAAAAAAAGAUACCCUUUCCCCCACCCCUUACCCUAAAACAGAUUGAAAUGCAAUAGAUUGAUACUAGGGUCAUAAUUAUGGGUGACAAUUUCAUAUGACACCGCUAGAAAAAACUGCCGUUCAAACCGAAAAGAUCCCAUGUUGUAACAUGUCCUGGGUACUUUUUUUCAUACCACCACCAGCAGUGAGAUUAUCAUGCACCUGACCAGACUACAAGCCCCAAACGUAACACUUUUGUACUAGAAGAUGAGGAGUAAAAGUAAUUUUAUUUUGACUGUGAAACAAACGAAAUACUGUCUUUUCUUACAUUUUUAUGUUUUUGUCUUCUUUCAGGUACACCAUAUUUAAAGAUCACAUCACCUUAAGUGACUGUAUCCUUUAUUCUGCUUUCUUCAGAUUUCACCCUAUUUUCUGUUUUAAUUUCUGAAAUGAAAUACCGUAAAUCCUCGAGAAUAAUCCGCAUUUUUUCCCCAAAAAUUUAAAGGUCAAAAUCCUUAGUGCGUACUAUAUACGAGGUUAAAAAUGAAAAUUAUUUUCUAAGCAAUGUCCAAGUCUCUAUUUUGCUGUCCAAGCAAUUUUUAUUUAGACGCAUUUUGUGAUGUCGGGCGCGAAAAUACCUUAAGCUAAGCCUGAAAGCAAUGAAGUCAUAAAAGAAUCAUCCAUAACUUGCAGUAAGCAACAUUUAUUAAACGUUAUUACUGUUAUUUCUUUAUUUUCUGCAAACAAAAUGCACAAAAAAGCUACACGUUUGCAUUAUGUUAUAUAUACAAUAAUAAUAAAGGACGUUACCGUAUACGUUUUUACAAACCAAGGACGUUAUAUAGACCUCCUUGACUCAAGUUAGAGAAGGUGUGCGUAUUAUACACAAGGUUUAGGUUUUUCACAGGUACAGCCCCCUAAAAAUCCACAGCGUAUACACAUUUGCAUUAUGUUAUAUAUACAAUAAUAAUAAAGGACGUUACCGUAUACGUUUUUACAAACCAAGGACGUUAUAUAGACCUCCUUGACUCAAAUUAGCGAAGGGGCGCGUAUUAUACACAAGGUUUAGGUUUUUCAGAAGUACAGCCCCCUAAAAAUCCCCUGUGUAUUAUACUCAAGAGCAGACUAUAUUCAAGGAUUUACAGUAUUACAAAAAUGUCCAAAAAAAAAAUCAACUUUUUCCAAUUUACCUAAUCACUGAUUGUUUGCUGACCCUCUACAAAAACACAAAUAAAAGCUUAUUCUUUUAUCUUUUACUUAUUUCAGCCAUUAGAUUGUGGCCAUGCUGGGGCACCACGUUUUGAAGAAUUUUUAGUCAAAUGAAUCAACCCCAGUACUCACUUCCUUUUAAGCCUGGUACUUAUUCUAUUGGUCUCUUUUGCCGAUCUGUUAAGAUAUGAGGGAUGUAAACACACCAACACUGGUUGUCAAGCAGUUGGUCAAGAGACAAACACUGAUACAUGCACACACACGCACCCGUGAUGGGCUCCUUUCAGUUUCCGUCUGCUAAAUCCUCUCACAAGGAUUUGGUCAAAUCCCACUGAGAUAACAUUACUUUUCAUCCUUUUCGAGUUGAUAAAACAAGUACCAGUUGAGUGCUAGGGUUGAACUUAAAACGUAAAGAUUCAGAAAAAAUUCCUCUACACAUUGUAUCUGACGCUCUAAUGACUCAGCCACCUUGCUGUCUUGGAAAUAAUAUAAAGAGUCUACUUCCCAACCACAAGGUUCUGGGUUCAGUCCCACUGUGUGACACCUUUGGCAAGUGUCUUCUACUAUAGUCGUGGGCUCUUUACGUUCUGUGUUCAAACCUUGCGAGUGUUGGCUUUAUUUUUUAUCCUUCCAGGGUCAAUAACGUAAAGUACCACUCAAGUACUAAGACCGAUAGUAUCAACUAACACCCCUCCCUCAAAGAAGUUUGGGUUUUUAAAAUUUUGGUACAAGGCCACCAAUUGUGAAGAAGGUUAUAAGUCAAUUACAUCGACCCCAGUGCUCAACUGGUAAUUAUUCUAUCAAGCCUGGAAAGAUGGAAAGCAAAACCAACCCUGGCAGCAUUUGAACUCAGAACAUACGGUCAGAAUAAAUGCUGCCUAGCAUCUUUUCCGAUGCAGUAAUGAUUCUGCCAGCUUGCCACCUUACUACAAACAAAUAUUAUAGUUACUAGCAGUAUAGCCCAGCAUUGCUCGGGCUUGUUUUCUUUCCGACCCUUUAGAAUUGGAAUUUUUGAAAAGUAAAAAAUUUUGCAUUAUGUAGCUUGUUAUUCUCUUUAAGUGAACAUUUUUCUGGUUGAAAUACACCGAAAAAUGGCGACACAGCAGUCAAAAAUAUCGUAAAAAAUAGGGAUUUUCAUAGAAAAAAAGCACCUUUUUGAUGUAAAUAAUUUUUGGUCUUCACAUGGUCCAAUUUGAAUUUUUCUUCUAUGGAAGGAAGAGCAAGCGUUCUUCUAUCAUACUCUCAAUUUUUAGUCAACCUGCACCGCAGGGUCUCGGAGAAAAUAGUAUUAAUUGAAGGCGACGAGCUGUCAGAAACGUUAGCACGCCGGGCGAAAUGCUUAGCAGUAUUUCGUCUGCCGUUACGUUCUGUGUUCAAAUUCCGCCGAGGUCGACUUUGCCUUUCAUCCUUUCGGGGUCGAUAAAUUAAGUACCAGUUACGCACUGGGGUCGAUAUAACUGACUUGAUCCGUUUGUCUGUCCUUGUUUGUCCUCUCUGUGUUUAGCCCCUUGUGGACAGUAAAGAAAUAAAUGUUAGUUGAAGCCUACCAAACCUGCCACACACAGACAACUUCAGCUUUAUAUUACUCUUUUACUUGUUUCAGUCAUUUGACUGCGGCCAUGCGAGCAACGCCUUCAGUCGAGCAAAUCGACCCGGGACUUAUUCUUUGUAAGCCCAGUAUUUAUUCUAUCGGUCUGUUUUGCCGAACCGCUAACGGGACGUAAACACACCAGCAUCGGUUGUCAAGCAAUGCUAGGGGGACAAACACAGACACACAAACAUAUACACACACACAUAUAUAUAUAUAUAUAUAUAUAUAUAUAUAUAUAUAUAUACAUAUACGACAGGCUUCUUUCAGUUUCCGUCUACCAAAUCCACUCACAAGGCAUUGGUUAUAGCAGAAGACACUUGCCCAAGAUACGCAGUGGGAUGAACCCGGAACCAUGAGGUUGGUUAUAUAUAUAUAUAUAUAUAUAUAUAUAGUUAUUUAUUCUCUUUCUCCUCUUCAUAGUCUUUUGCAUCCUUGACUCUGAUGUUUCAGAUGAAAUCCAUGAUGGCAUGAACCUAGAACUCUACUACCAAUAAAUCUGGCAAAGAACACUCCCAGACAGCUCCAGUUAUUUUAUACAUUUGUCUCUGCAUCUUUUCCCUUGGAUUUUUUUUUAUUUUUUUUUUAAGAAAAUUAACCCCGUUUUGAGGAAAAUUCAAGAUGAAAUCAAACUGAAUAAAUUUAUAAAAACAAUGUCAGGGCUUUAAAAAAAAUCAUUUUUCUUCUCUGUAAAUGGCCUUUUUUAUUCU
rnacentral:lncRNA from 1 species